CGGGGUAGGACCUGCCCCCCAUAGUCUGGGAUACCACUUGGAAACAGGUGCUAAUACCGGGAUAAGAAAGCAGAUCGCAUGAUCAGCUUUUAAAAAGGCGGCGUAAGCUGUCGCUAUGGGAUGGCCCCGCGGUGCAUUAGCUAGUUGGUAAGGUAAAGGCUUACCAAGGCGAUGAUGCAUAGCCGAGUUGAGAGACUGAUCGGCCACAUUGGGACUGAGACACGGCCCAAACUCCUACGGGAGGCAGCAGUAGGGAAUCUUCCACAAUGGACGCAAGUCUGAUGGAGCGAACGCCGCGUGAGUGAAGAAGGUUUUCGGAUCGUAAAGCUCUGUUGUUGGUGAAGAAGGAUAGAGGUAGUAACUGGCCUUUAUUUGACGGUAAUCAACCAGAAAGUCACGGCUAACUACGUGCCAGCAGCCGCGGUAAAU
rnacentral:rRNA from 1 species